rnacentral:tRNA from 1 species
GUCUUCAUAGCGGAACCUACGGCCUUCUAAGCCGUAGGUCGCGCGUUCGAACCGCGCCCGGGGUGCCA